rnacentral:rRNA from 1 species
GAUGAACGCUGGCGGCGUGCCUAAUACAUGCAAGUCGAGCGAACGGACGAGAAGCUUGCUUCUCUGAUGUUAGCGGCGGACGGGUGAGUAACACGUGGAUAACCUACCUAUAAGACUGGGAUAACUUCGGGAAACCGGAGCUAAUACCGGAUGAUAUUUUGAACCGCAUGGUUCAAAAGUGAAAGACGGUCUUGCUGUCACUUAUAGAUGGAUCCGCGCUGCAUUAGCUAGUUGGUAAGGUAACGGCCUACCAAGGCAACGAUGCAUAGCCGACCUGAGAGAGUGAUCGGCCACACUGGAACUGAGACACGGUCCAGACUCCUGCGGGAGGCAGCAGUAGGGAAUCUUCCGCAAUGGGCGAAAGCCUGACGGAGCAACGCCGCGUGAGUGAUGAAGGUCUUCGGAUCGUAAAACUCUGUUAUUAGGGAAGAACAUAUGUGUAAGGAACUGUGCACAUCGUGACGGUACCUAAUCAGAAAGCCACGGCUAACUACGUG